GAUGUUAUAUAUAAUAUGCUAAAAUUGACUCUUAAUCAAUGGGUCGAGGGUUCGAGCCCCUCCGGGGUCA
rnacentral:tRNA from 1 species